rnacentral:rRNA from 1 species
CCGGCCUACGGGGGGCAGCAGUAGGGAAUUUUCGGCAAUGGGCGAAAGCCUGACCGAGCAAUGCCGCGUGAGUGAAGAAGGCCUUUGGGUUGUAAAGCUCUGUUGUAAAGGAAGAACGGAUGGCAUAGGGAAUGAUGCCAUUGUGACGGUACCUUACGAGGAAGUCACGGCUAACUACGUGCCAGCAGCCGCGGUAAUACGUAGGUGGCGAGCGUUAUCCGGAAUUAUUGGGCGUAAAGGGUGCGCAGGCGGCAAGAAAAGCUUAAGGUGAAAGCGGGGGGCUCAACCCCAUAAAGCCU